UCUGAGCUCAAUUCAAUUUGCAAAACUUGAUCAUCAGCCCAAUUGUGCCUUCCUCCAGCUAUGGAGGCAGCUGGAGGAAAAUCUAAAAUUUCAAAGCUCCCUCAAAAAUGCAGGGGUAAAAAUAAUUGAACAAGUACCAAUGAGAACAUAGAACUUGGAAGAUUUUCUAGUUCCUAACAAAAGGAAAAAGCCUCCUCAAGUGAUCUGAGUCAUUAUGCCUGAGCCACAUGAGGAGAAAGAAGAUUGGAGAUUGCACAGUUACUUCUGGUCCCAUGUGGAGGCCCAAUAUCAAAUUAACUAUUUUUUGGUCCUGGAAGAACAUACAGCAAGUAUGGCAUUAGUAGGCAUGGGCACAGAAACCUCCAUUAUUUAUGGUGAUCCAACUACAUUCCAUGGAGAUAGGGUGAUGAUUGGUGGGUUUGGGGGAAAGACCAUCCCUGUAACCCAGACAUGGUUGAAGUUAGGGGUUGGGCAUCUCCCACCUUGGAAGUGUGAGAAGUCUGUUGCCCCAGUCCCGGAGUAUAUACUGGGCAUACAUAUACUAGGGGGUCUGACUCUCCAGAUAACUGUGGGAGAGUUCAGACUAAAAGACGUAUUGGUAUCCGGGCAGUGCAGGUGAUACUAAGAGGCCACGCAAAACGUGAACCUAUUCACCUGCCAGAGCUGCACCGGAUUACUAAUACUGAACAGUAUUGACUCCUAAUAGGGGAGGAAAUCUCAAGAACAGUGCACAAACUAGAAGUAGAAAUUGUAAGACCUUCACAUAGCCUGUAUAAUUCCCCCAUACAGAUUCCAACAUUCAGGACCUGCUUCUUUUUCAUAAUUACUCUUUUUUUUUUUCCUGUCCUUGCAGCUGCUCUAUGUAUGCCUUCAUUAAAGUUCUCUUCUGCAGCUCUUCCACUCUGAGUUUGUCAGUAAUGAACUUGAAUGAUCAGAGCUGUGCGUAGCAUGCAGGAGGACCUCUUAAAAGUGCUUGUUAGCUACGGAACGUUUUAUUACUCAUUUGUUACCAAUAACUUACUGAACUAAAGAUCUUUAAAUGCGUGACUGUAAACUUUACAGUGAAAUUUUACAUCCAAUUAUUAUUAGCAUUUUUUUUUGCAUAGAGUUUAACUAUUCUUGCCAGUUUCAGUGCUCUGAGCUUCAUAAGUUUACUGUUCCUGUGGGUAAAACUACAACUGUGUUUAUUUAGUUCCUCCUUUUUACCAUACUAUUUUUUCCACUGCCUUAUCAAAGCUUAAAACAGCAGCAAAGAAAGUAUACAGACUUCAUCCCAUAUCUAGGGGAUGCCUAAUCUGUGCUUCAAUUCCUGCCUCUUUAUAUAAGAUUUGCUACUUGUUUCAAUGCACUUUCACACUUCAACUCAGUUCAUCUUGGAGCAAAUUCUUACUUUAAUCUCUAAAUGUUUUGGACUCCAAGUUUCUGCUUAUUAGUGUAUUUUCACAUUUUAAUAACUUAAUUUGAAUUAAUACAGGGAGGCAUGAAUGAAUUUGGAGACUGCAGGUAGGGAAAUAAUAGGAAUAAUAGAAGUUAGACCUAUACUAGCUUUACCUCCCUGUUGUCUGUGGGUAAAUUUAGCACAGAGAUGCCUGAUUGCAUUUUCCAUGAGCAAAUGGCAAGCAUAUCUGUAAUUCCAGAAAUAGAUCUGCUCCUUGUGAACACCUUCAUGCUGAAAACAAACUAAAUUAAAAUUCUCUCUGAGAUUUUUCCUACCAUCACAAGCAGAAGCCUGUAGGCACUUGAAAUACAUAGAGAAAUAUGGAUGUAAAAUAUUAUUACUAAGUGCACCUUAUCAACAAAACAACAGCACCCUUUCCUAAACUAUAACCUGCUCUCCCAUGUUAACGGGACCUGUGGAAGAUUUAUACCUGCAUGCAGUGGCCAUAGCAACAAGGACGAUUACAAAUACAAAAGCUCACUUGUACCAGGUGGGUGAAAUCUAGAAAGCAGAUCUUGAAGUGUCUGUUACAGUGGGAGAAGUGCUGACACUCAGUUUUUGUUUCCCUGUCAGUUUCAACUAGGGCCUUUGACUGAGGUUUGCCCCCUGAAAAGGGCACAGUACAGUCAAUAUGAGGUAAGGAUGGUACCAAAUCAGGUGGGACUCUGCAUAUUAACCUACACAGCAGGGAGAGUCUGCUUGAGAGAUCAGUAUGGACAAUACUUCUGUCCAUGAAAACAUUUAAGAGUCCUUUGGUGACUCCUGGAGACUUGCAUAGUAACUAGUUGCUGAUCUACUUCCUGGCAAUUCUCAGCCACAUCAGUGAAGUGAGUACUUCGCAGUCGUGCCCUGUGGGGUUAAGAAAAGUGUUGAGAUCUGGACUUUGGAACAGAGAUUUGCUGGAUCUGAAUAGGCCAUUGCUUGCAACCUCCUGCCCCUCUGUGAUCUCUUCUGCUCCAGUCAACACUGUGGAUCAGGUGGAACAGGCCCAUGGCUUGAGCCAGCCAUGCUGCUCAGAGGCUGUAUGCCCUCUGAGAUGGCUCUGUGGAGAGCUGCAGUGUUUGCAGUGCAUUCAGCCAGCAUUCUGCUGGCUGAGUUACUGUACAUAUGAACAUUGAUUCCCGUGAUCAUCUGGGGAACUGUUCUUAUUCCCUCCAGAGCAAAGUUUGUAAAUGGGACCAAUACUACUAAGACAAAUUUCUGUAGGCAGAAAGCAACAGAUAUACUCAGAGUGACUUAUUUACCACUGCAGCUGUCAGAUCUAACAGUCAGGGAGUCAUUACAGAGUCUCUCCCAGAACACAAUCAGUUAGUCAGCGUUUCAGGCAUGUAUCAGCAAAAGCAAGAGGAUUACUCAUGGAUGCUCUGAGGAGCAAUCACAUAUCCAAGGCACAGUUCAGGACUCAGCCUUACUAACGUUAUUCUCUUGUAUUAUGCUUUUAUCAUGUUUUCUUUCCCAUCAUGAUUUUGUACUGUGGAAGUUCUCACUGGAAGAUUUGACAUGCUGUGCAAGUUUUCCCAAAUACGAAGAGAAAAAGAGGAAGGUUAGUCAGCAGUUGCAAAAAAGCAGUGUCACUGAAAAUCACUGGUAUGGAACUUUAAUACCAGAUAGUCUCCUUUCCUACCUUUUGGUAUAUCAUCUUGCUGCAACACUAUAGAGAGGCAUAUGUAAAGGAGUACCAGGGUAGUGGAGAACAUGGGCCUAAAAAUAGAGAUGUCUGGGAAGUAAUGAUUUUUCCCAAAGAGACAUAAGAUUGACGUUUAAAAAAAGUAAAAAAAAAAUAAAGAAAACAUCAAAAUUUCAAGUAAAUGUGGAAAGAUUUUGUAUUACUGAGCUUAGAUUUUUUCUUCUUUCUAAACAACACUGAAGAUUUUUAACAAAAAAUACUGCCUUCACCAAGAAAACUACAUCUACAGACAUAAUUAAAAACUUUAAAAAUAUUUCAUUCAAAUUAUACUUUUUUUUUCCUGCCCAUGUCAUCUUUUAUUUCCAUCUUCUGCUUCUCACAUGGAACUCUGGUACUCAGGUGUUAACAAACUAAGAAAAUUAGCACAUCCAUCUUCCUUCUUAACCAAGCUUCCACUGCUUUUUCUCUUUUUUCAUGUUUGUUAGUGCUCUUUUAUUUCUCUUGAUGGAAACUUGUUAUGUUUCAUAUUCCUUCCUUUUUUUUUUUUUUUUUUUUUUUUUUUUGUCCAGCACUUAGGUGUCUUUAAUAACCUCUUUUCCUGGCUUCACCUUUUAUUGUCUACCACCUUUAAAACUUGUGCUUUCAUUUCCUUUCCUUCUCAUUAUAUAUUACUGUCUUCUGGCAAUCUUUCCCAUUUGUGUCCCUCAAAAUGACAUAUUCCAUAGAACUUUAAAAAAGCUAAGCGGUUUUUCCUCACAAUACUGAAAGUACUCAAUAAGUAUUAUUAUGUCAGUUUUAGACAUGAAACAAAUAUAGACAGAAAUGAUGACUUAGUUUGUCAUGAAACAAUUUGUUGCUAGAGUUUAUUUCACUUUUAGUUCAUACUUUUCUCUUAAUCAAUCCAUUAAUCCAUUUUUCUCCCUUUGUUCUGCUGCAGCAAUACUCUCCUUUAAACCUUCCUAAAAACACUUUGACACUGGACUCCUAAUGAAGGCUUGUGUAACAAGAGGCCCUUGGAGGAUAGAGAAAGACCUUGUCCCUGCUUCAGGCUGUGAAGGGUAGUACUUGAAGAAUGCAAAUUAUUAACAUCUGCAUGAUGUGUGAGUUUAGGACUUUUUUUUUUUAAUCUUAAAACCAAAGUAUGUUUCUGGGUUCGGUCUGCUGGGCAUGCAAGUAUACUGUAUCUAAGAAGUUGUUUUUCCUUUUGAGGCUGCAGAUGAGAGAGAUCUGAUAAACCUUGGAAUGCACAUAUAAACAAAACUUCUUGAUUUUGAGAGACCACUGUGAUUCUAGUUAAUGUUAGGGCCAUAUGUGAAAUAUAGACGUCCAAUUUCCAGCACAAGCUCUCCACUUACAACCCCAAAUGUGUUCAGCACAGUUUCAAGGAAAUGAGAUAGGCUAAGCACAGUUUAUAUCACACUUAGCAUGGAUUUUGUGUUUUCCUUCAUCUUUUUAGGGAGGCUCAGACUUUUCAGAGGAGAGGGAUGGGAGACCGAUGUAUUCAUAUGCAAUAGAAUCCUUCCCUCACAUGGCACAAGCUUGAACACAAUUGCAGCCCUCAUGCAGGCUGUGUUUGUGGAGGUGCCUGAAAGUAGAGAUAAAAACCUCCUGUGCUUUGUCUCUUUGAGGUGAGUAUGGUGUUUAUAGCACAAAUCAAACAACAAUCCUCAGAAACUGAAACUCUUGUAUGUGUUACCUUGAUACAAAGGAAACAGGGAAGGGAAAACAGUAAAUGCUUUUAUAAACACAUUAACAGCAAGAGGAAGGCUAGGGAGAAUCUUCAUCCCUUGUUGGAUGCUGAGGGCAACCUGGUCACCAAGGAUAGGGAUAAGGCUGAGGUACUUAAUGCUUUCUUUGCCUCAGUCUUUAAUAAUAAGACUUGUUACUCCUUGGGAACACAGACCCCUGCGCUGGUAGAUAGGGAUGGGGAACAGAAUAAGCCCUUCAUGAUCCAUGACGAGAUAGUUUUGGUGCGAAACUGGAUGCUUACAAGUCCAUGGGGCGGAUGGAUUGCAUGCUAGAGUGCUGAGGGAGUUGGCGGAUGUGGUUGCCAAGCCACUCUCCAUCAUUUUCGGCAGUCCUGGCUAACUGGGGAUGUCCUGGUGGAUUGGAAACUGGCAAAUGUGACAUCCAUCUUCAAAAACAGCCGAAAAGAUGAUCCUGGUAGCUACAGGUCUAUCAGUCUCACCUUGGUAUCUGGGAAGGUUAUGGAACGAAUAAUCUCGGGAACCAUCAUGGACCAAUUAAAGGUCAACCAGGGGAUCAGGCCCAGUCAGCAUGGGUUUACAAAUGGUAGAUCCUGUCUGACAAACCUGAUUUCAUGAUCCGCUUAGUGGAUGAGGGUCAGGCUGUUGAUGUGGUCUACCAGGACUUCAGUAAGGUCUUUGCUGCUGUCCCCCAUAACAUUCUCGUGGAGAAGCUGGCUGCCCAUGGUCUGGAUGGGUGUAUGCUCCACUGGCUGGAUGUCCGGGCCCAAAGAGUCGUGGUCAAUGGUGCUGAAUCCAGUUGGCGGCCAGUCACAAGCGGUGUCCCCCAAGGCUCAGUGCUGGGGCCGCUUCUGUUUAACAUCUUCACUGAUGAUCUUGAUGAGGGUAUUGAGUGCACCCUCAGUAAGUUUGCAGUAAGGAAAAUGGAUGAAGAAGCAGAUCCUGAUGGCUUCUGUCAGCUGUUGACAAUACCUAGUAAUGUGCUUUUUCUGAAACAGACCUGAUGUGUCUUGUGGAUGAUAGAGUGAGUAGGUGUUGUGUCAAUCAGUAAGAAUUAAAAGUCACUGAAGGGCAGGAACAGCAGAUGUGAGAUUUUGACUGCUUUUUGUUCACAGGGAGAUGGUAUCAGACUCUAGCAAUUUGUGUGAUUUAAUGUCACGCUUAUCUCAUGCACUUUAGCAAAGGAUAUCACAAACAUAGAUUUUAGACCUCAACUUUAAAGACGUAAGACACAUGUUUUAUUGAUAAAAAACAAACUUGCGAAGCCUUCUGUAGCAUCUAAGUAGAUAUCCUGAUUUGUACUAGACUACUAAGCAGUUUGUUCCAUGACAACAAUUUUAUUACUCCAGGCUAGUCUCCCAAGUUAGUGAUAUGAUUUCUUAGAAAUCACAUGACUGUCAAUAUUUUUAUAAUUCACAG
ensembl:lncRNA